GCAUUAUAAUAAUUACGUAUUUAUCAUUCAUUUAUUUUAUUAGUUCAAUUUCAGUAGCAUAGAUUAUGCGAAAAUUAGUGCUGAUAAUGUAAAAUUGGGAGAACAAAAUGACACUUGAACAAUGUAAGAAAAGCACUAACAUUCACUUGCAUACAACACAUGAUAAUAAUUCACAUUCCCUGAGGAAAACAUUACAAUAAGGUAUACUGAACAGAAAACACAAGACCGCGCUCACUCGCUCACUUUCCGGGAACAAAGUUGGUGGCAAAAGCCCAAGCGUUGUUGUUGACUGGGUCAGCAAGAUGGUCAGCAAGGUUCUCCAAAGGACCCUUUCCGGUCACAAUAGCCUGGACAAAGAAUCCAAACAUAGAGAACAUAGCUAACCUACCGUUUUUGAGUUCCUUAACCUUUAAUUCUGCGAAAGCUUCUGGGUCGUCAGCUAGGCCUAAUGGGUCAAAGCUGCCACCUGGGUAAAGUGGGUCAACUACUUCACCAAGAGGCCCACCUGCAAUACGGUAUCCUUCAACUGCGCCCAUCAAGAUAACUUGAGUGGCCCAGAUGGCAAGGAUACUUUGAGCG
rnacentral:lncRNA from 1 species